rnacentral:rRNA from 1 species
GACGAACGCUGGCGGCAUGCCUAAUACAUGCGAGUUGAACGAUGAUAUUCUCUGCUUGCAGAGAAUUGAAGAGUAGCGAACGGGUGAGUAACACGUGGGGAACCUGCCCAUGAGAGGGGGAUAACAUUCGGAAACGGAUGCUAAUACCGCAUAAUGCUUUGGACCGCCUGGUCCAGAGACGAAAGACGGCUUUUGCCGUCACUCAUGGAUGGCCCCGCGCCGUAUUAGCUAGUUGGUGAGGUAAUGGCUCACCAAAGCUGUGAUACGUAGCCGACCUGAGAGGGUGAUCGGCCACACUGGGACUGAGACACGGCCCAGACUCCUACGGGAGGCAGCAGUAGGGAAUCUUCCACAAUGGGCGAAAGCCUGAUGGAGCAAUGCCGCGUGAAUGAAGAAGGUCUUCGGAUCGUAAAGUUCUGUUAUUAGAGAAGAACAAGUCAAGGAGUAACUGUCUUGACUUUGACGGUACCUAACCAGAAAGUCACGGCUAACUACGUG